rnacentral:rRNA from 1 species
GAAAGCCCCGACGGCGCGGGAUGGGGUCGCGGCCCAUUAGGUAGUAGGCGGGGUAGAGGCCCACCUAGCCGACGAUGGGUAGCCGGACUGAGAGGUCGAUCGGCCACAUUGGGACUGAGAUACGGCCCAGACUCCUACGGGAGGCAGCAGUGGGGAAUUUUGCGCAAUGGGGGGAACCCUGACGCAGCAACGCCGCGUGCGGGACGAAGGCCCUCGGGUCGUAAACCGCUUUCAGCAGGGAAGACCUUACGACGGUACCUGCAGAAGAAGCUCCGGCUAACUACGUGCCAGCAGCCGCGGUAAUACGUAGGGGGCGAGCGUUAUCCGGAUUCAUUGGGCGUAAAGCGCGCGUAGGCGGCCGCCUAAGCGGAACCUCUAACCCCGGGGCUCAACCUCGGGCCGGGUUCCGGACUGGGCGGCUCGAGUGCGGUAGAGGAGAGCGGAAUUCCCGGUGUAGCGGUGGAAUGCGCAGAUAUCGGGAAGAACACCGAUGGCGAAGGCAGCUCUCUGGGCCGUCACUGACGCUGAGGCGCGAAAGCUGGGGGAGCGAACAGGAUUAGAUACCCUGGUAGUCCCAGCCGUAAACGAUGGGCGCUAGGUGUGGGGGGAUCCCCCCUCC